rnacentral:rRNA from 1 species
AACUUUUCCAUUGAACUUUUUUUGUCGACCCCAAAUUUUGACCUUUAAGUACUUUUUCGGGCAUUUUCGUGAUUUGGGCUAUAUUACGGACCCAAAAUUACUUGUUCAAGCAUUGUUUUCGAAUUUUUUCAUGCAUCUAAGCUCGUUAAGACUAGAUGGGGUAUCCCUACAUAGCGGGUGGGACCCACGGCGAAUGGUUCAUCAAGUCUUCAAAAAAGAAUAUAUAGGAUUGCAUAGCAUAAUGGAUGCGAUCAUACCAGCACUAAUGCACCGGAUCCCAUCAGAACUCCGCAGUUAAGCGUGCUUGGGCGAGAGUAGUACUAGGAUGGGUGACCUCCCGGGAAGUCCUCGUGUUGCAUCCCUCUUUUAUGUUUA